AUUGAACGCUCGCGGGAUGCUUUACACAUGCAAGUCGAACGGCAGCGCGGACUUCGGUCUGGCGGCGAGUGGCGAACGGGUGAGUAAUGUAUCGGAACGUGCCCAGUAGCGGGGGAUAACUACGCGAAAGCGUAGCUAAUACCGCAUACGCCCUACGGGGGAAAGCCGGGGAUCGUAAGACCUUGCACUAUUGGAGCGGCCGAUAUCGGAUUAGCUAGUUGGUGAGGUAACGGCUCACCAAGGCGACGAUCCGUAGCUGGUUUGAGAGGACGACCAGCCACACUGGGACUGAGACACGGCCCAGACUCCUACGGGAGGCAGCAGUGGGGAAUUUUGGACAAAGGGGGCAACCCUGAUCCAGCCAUCCCGCGUGUGCGAUGAAGGCCUUCGGGUUGUAAAGCACUUUUGGCAGGAAAGAAACGUCGCGGGCUAAUACCCCGUGGAACUGACGGUACCUGCAGAAUAAGCACCGGCUAACUACGUG
rnacentral:rRNA from 1 species